rnacentral:rRNA from 1 species
UGCAAGUCGAACGAGAAAGCGGGGGCAACCUCGCAAGUACAGUGGCGUACGGGUGAGUAACACGUGGGUAAUCUACCCUUUAGUGGGGAAUAACGCUGGGAAACCGGCGCUAAUACCGCAUAAUCCCGAGAGGGGAAAGUCGCAAGACGCUGAAGGAGGAGCCCGCGGCCGAUUAGCUAGUUGGGAGGGUAAAAGCCUACCAAGGCAAAGAUCGGUAGCCGGCCUGAGAGGGCACACGGCCACACUGGCACUGAAACACGGGCCAGACUCCUACGGGAGGCAGCAGUGGGGAAUCUUGCACAAUGGGGGCAACCCUGAUGCAGCGACGCCGCGUGAGCGAUGAAGCCCUUCGGGGUGUAAAGCUCUUUCGGCAGGGACGAUAAUGACGGUACCUGCAGAAGCAGCUGCGGCUAACUACGUGCCAGCAGCCGCGGUAAUACGUAGGCAGCGAGCGUUGUUCGGAGUUACUGGGCGUAAAGGGUGUGUAGGCGGUUGUCUAAGUUUGGUGUGAAAUCUCCCGGCUCAACCGGGAGGGUGCGCCGAAAACUGGGCGACUCGAGUGCGGGAUGGGAGAGUAGAAUUCCUGGUGUAGCGGUGAAAUGCGUAGAUAUCAGGAGGAAUACCGGUGGUGUAGACGGCUCUCUGGACCGCAACUGACGCUGAGACACGAAAGCGUGGGUAGCAAACAGGAUUAGAUACCCUGGUAGUCCACGCCCUA